rnacentral:rRNA from 1 species
UAGGGAAUAUUGCGCAAUGGGGGAAACCCUGACGCAGCAACGCCGCGUGAGUGAGGAAGGUCUUCGGAUUGUAAAACUCUUUUAUUAGAGAAAAACGGCUUUUUGGCUAAUAUCCAAGAAGCGUGAUGGUAUCUAAGGAAUAAGCACCGGCUAACUUCGUGCCAGCAGCCGCGGUAAUACGAAGGGUGCAAGCGUUGUUCGGAUUUAUUGGGCGUAAAGCGCGCGCAGGCGGAUCAGUAAGUCAGAUGUGAAAUCUCGGGGCUCAACCCCGAAACUGCGUCUGAAACUGCUAGUCUAGAAUAUCGGAGGGGGCAGGGGAAUUUCACGUGUAGGGGUAAAAUCCGUAGAGAUGUGAAGGAACACCAGUGGCGAAGGCGCCUGCCUGGACGAUUAUUGACGC